rnacentral:rRNA from 1 species
GGAAUGAAGAUAGGGUCCUGCCUGCCCAGUGACAUUAGUUUAACGGCCGCGGUAUUAUGACCGUGCAAAGGUAGCGUAAUCACUUGGUCUUUUAAAUAAAGACCUGUAUGAAUGUUCCGUGCAGAAGCGGAAAUAAAUUUAUAAGACGAGAAGACCCUAUGGAGCUUCAAAUAUAAAUCAAUUGUUUUAAUUAAAAAUCAACCAAAAAUAUAAUAAAACAUAAUGAUUAAAAUUUUAGGUUGGGGCGACCACGGAAAAAAACAAAACUUCCGAGAUGAAAUAUUAUUAAUGAACAACAGUUCUAAAAAAUAAAAUAUUUAACAUAAUUGAUCCAAUAUUUGAUCAACGAACCAAGUUACCCUAGGGAUAACAGCGCAAUCCUUUCUAAGAGUCCUUAUCGACGAAUGGGUUUACGACCUCGAUGUUGGAUCAGGACACCCCAAUGGUGUAGCCGCUAUUAAAGGUUCGUUUGUUCAACGAUUAAAGUCCUACGUGAUCUGAGCCCAAAACCGGA